rnacentral:pre_miRNA from 1 species
AGUGUACUCCCUCCGUCCCAAAAUUCUUGUCUUAGAUUUGUCUAGAUACGGAUGUACCUAACACUAAAACGUGACUUGAUACAUCCGUAUUUGGACAAAUCUAAGACAAGAAUUUUGAGACGGAGGGAGCAUAUA